GUGGCCAUGGUGUAGUGGUUAUCAUGCCCGACUAGUGUCUGGGAGACGCCCGUUCGAAUCCUGCUCGGUACA